UCAGUGUCCUCUCUAAUGCUUUGUUAUGUCUUCAUUCGAUUAACAAAGCCUCGCUUGUGGACAAGAUCAAUUGAUAGUUUUAUUAUCCUAGCUUUUGAAGUAAUCAACAUUUUAUAUAGCUCGAGAAACGUAAAACUACAUUC